CCAUCCUUCCAAUUGAAGCGGACACAGUAUGUACCGGUCUACGCAUUGUCAGUAUCCCUCCGACAAUCCAACGACCAGGAACCUUUUGGACAUAAUGGUUAUGUGAAGAAGGUCUCUGUAGUCUAACAUCAUUAGAUUACUUCUCCAAUCGAUCCAUUGUCCAUGGAUACACUAUUCAGGACAUAUAUCGUUUAUUGAGAUAGUCCUAAUUAGCAUCUUUGUCAUUUGAUGUAUAAGAAUCAUCCAUACAUCGAUUCAUUUGUCCUGAAAGAUUUCUUCCAAAGAUUGACUUUCAGGGCAUAUUUCCAACAACUACUACCAAGCCCAUCUCACAAUGAUAUGAUGUUGGCUAGCAUUAAUAAUAAUGAGAGAGUACGCUUACUCAUUUGCAUCUCUUGCAAGUACCCAUCUUAUUUGUCCUCUAGAGAAUGUUACCUCACAAUGAUAUGAUGUUGGCUCCAUUGCACUUAGUUAUGUCAUUCCCACCAUGCAAGUUCGGGUAGGUGUUCAAGAACAACCUCACAAUGAUAUGAUGUUGAUCAUUCUCGUUGCCUACGUCUCACAUCAUCAAGUAUGCAUAUAGACUCCUCCUGAGUGUAAGCACGCACUUUGUACUCCCCCAUGAUAGGGUGAAGCCGGUGUACGAGUCACAAACGAUCGGAGCCUACCACGGUGGAAGGCCACGAAAGAGUGUUCAAAGCACUCUCACGCUUAUCAACUUAAUAAUGGUUUGGUUGAGGGUUUUAGGUCUCAUCACAUAUAAAUAUUCAUUUUAAUCUUUAUUAAAACAAUUUUGGUCCUAUUACAACUAUUGGUCCAUUUGAUUGAAUUUAGUUGUAUAUAAUACUCCCACUAUGCUUAUAAAACAGUUUUUAAAGCAAGAGUAUAUGAUACUACUAACAUAAACUUUGCAUUCAUUUGAUGGACUAUAUAGAUGCCUUAGGGCCUUAGGAUGACUAUGAACCUUUGAUUAGAUUCAACACGAGCCUAGUGUUGAAUCUCGGUCUAGGGAUGGUGAUUGAUUUUAGUUACGCGUUUAAUCACAUUAAGGCGUGUUGUCUUAGGGGCGUUGGACCCAACUACUUCAAUUUCAUGCAUAUCAAAUAAAGCAAGAAAGAAGUACUUCAAAGUAAAGAUGAGCUUAUGCUCUUUACAACAUUUGAAUGAUUCAAAUUACUUUAAAGUAAAGAAGAGCUUAAGCUCUUUUACAACAUUUGAUCAAAUCAAAUUACAACCAAAAUCUAAUCUACACAUUCCUAUGGUUCAAACAAAUUUGAAACGGCCUUUCACAUAGCUCAAUUAUCGUAGGCUUAGGUUCAUAAUCACCCUUUAAUUAAUUAACGCUUUAACUAAUUAAAUUGAAUGCAACAUUUUCAUUUGGUUUUUGUAUCCAUAAAAUUGAUUUAAAUGGAGCUGAAUGAAAUGAAAAUCCAAUUCUCAUUUAAAGAGACAAAACAAUUUUGUUCUCAACCUAAUUUGGGCCAAAAUGCAAUUACCACAACUUUUUGGGCUAUAUUGCAAAAACACAAACUUUUGGGGUUACUUUGUAAAAACACAAAAGUCCACUACUUCAUGUAAUUACAACUAGAACCCAAAAAUUCAACAAAUAUAAAAACUUCAUUAAAGGAGCAAAACAAUUUGUCCUUUGGCGUUUUUAGGCCUUAACGUCAAAACGUAAACUUUCAGGUCAAAAUACAAAUACACAAAAGUAUCAAAACUUUAUGUAAUUGCAUAAAAGCCCCAAAAAUACCCUAUUUUAAUAGGGUGGCCGGUUUUAGGGAAAAAAAAGAGAAGAGAUAAGUCCACAAAAAUUUGGAAAUUUUUCAACAAUGUCAUAAAGCCUUGCAAGUGGAAUUUGGUUGGUGUGAAUCAUAAAACCAUGCAAGUGGAAUUUGGUUGGUGUGUGUGUAAGAGAAGUACUUCUUACACACCCAUCACCAUUUCUAUCACCUUUCAAAAUAAAUGUCUUGUUGAUAGAAAAUUCACAUCAACCAACACAAAACAAAGACUUUAUGAAAUCAACCAAAACUUUGAAUCAAAACACCAAACUUUUUGUUCUUGACUAAAAUGUCAAGAAUAAUGAAGAACAUUCAUGAAAAACCCGUAAAAGCUUCAUGAACAUUUUUCAUCCAAAGACAUCCCAAAAACACUCAAACUUAAGGGAAAUAACAUAUAACCAAACUAGGGUACAUAGGGGUUCCAAAAGUUACUUGAAAACACUUUUAACAAGUCAAACAAGAACCCAAAAAAUCACCCUUUGGAUUUGGCCGAAAAUCCCCAAAAACUUGGCACCAAAUUUUAGCUCCAAUAUUCAUGCUCAUAUGAACUACAUCUACAACAUUUGAGAUGGCAAAUUUUC
rnacentral:lncRNA from 1 species